rnacentral:lncRNA from 12 species
GUGAUAUACUGCCCUUGGAUUUCCCUGAGCAGCUCCUGCUAUCCCUGAUGAGAUCUCCAGUGCAGUGGAGGGUGCUGGAUCUCCAAGGACUGCAGUGGGAGCACAGACAUGUUAAAGAAUUCAAAGUGGUUUUCAAGGACCUGGAGGGACAUGUAAUAGCUGCUGACACAAUGCCUGAGUGCUGUAAAGCAAAUAAUUUGCCCUCCAGCAAGCUCCAGUUCAAGCUCAACCAGGGCCAGGUCUGACUUCCCUCCACUCUGAAGAGUUUCUUCAGUGCAUUGUUUGGAAGGUCAAGCACCUUCUCCAUGCUAUUCUUUCUG